GCCCUUGAUUAUGUAAAGGGCAAUUUGAUUCCAGUCCCUGAUAAAAAUUCCCUUUCAACGGAUCCCAUUCGUAAAAAUUACGAUUUCGUUUUUCAAUCCCACCGCGACGAGAAUUAUUUGAAAAGAGAGUCUUGGUUGACUUCUAUUUGGUUUUUUUCACCCUCAGCCCCACUUGACUCAUGCUGGAGAGCAGCUUCACUCUGCUCUUCAUCAUUUCGGAACUCAAAUUGAGAUCUUUUUUCUAUACACAUAAUGUGUGCUAGAUAAAUUGGAUGCAGGUAUCAUGUCCCGAUCAUUCUCAAUAGAGGGUUCUCACUCACAAGGAGAACGAAUGUUUCGAGGAAAUGCCAUUGGAUGGGGUGUUGUAGUCUCGGCUGUCUGAAUGUCUCAGUGUGUCUGUGUAUUACUGAGUCUGGUCUGGCUGGCCUUGACUUGGGGUUGGAGGAUGAGUGUCCAUCUAGCGGUAGAUAUUACAACAUCUCCCCCUUUCCACAAUAUACGAUCCACAUUACACAGAAUACA